AGUGAACGCUGGCGGUAGGCCUAACACAUGCAAGUCGAACGGCAGCACAGUAAGAGCUUGCUCUUACGGGUGGCGAGUGGCGGACGGGUGAGGAAUACAUCGGAAUCUACUUUUUCGUGGGGGAUAACGUAGGGAAACUUAUGCUAAUACCGCAUACGACCUACGGGUGAAAGCAGGGGAUCUUCGGACCUUGCGCGAUUGAAUGAGCCGAUGUCGGAUUAGCUAGUUGGCGGGGUAAAGGCCCACCAAGGCGACGAUCCGUAGCUGGUCUGAGAGGAUGAUCAGCCACACUGGAACUGAGACACGGUCCAGACUCCUACGGGAGGCAGCAGUGGGGAAUACUGGACAAUGGGCGCAAGCCUGAUCCAGCCAUACCGCGUGGGUGAAGAAGGCCUUCGGGUUGUAAAGCCCUUUUGUUGGGAAAGAAAAGCAGCAGGUUAAUACCCCGCUGUUCUGACGGUACCCAAAGAAUAAGCACCGGCUAACUUCGU
rnacentral:rRNA from 1 species